rnacentral:rRNA from 1 species
GACGAACGCUGGCGGCGCGCUUAAUACAUGCAAGUCGAGCGAGAACCGGAGCUUCGGCUCCGGGGACAGCGGCGAACGGGUGAGUAACACGUGGGUAACCUGCCCUCGGCACCGGGAUAGCCCGGGGAAACCCGGAUUAAUACCGGAUGGCCCUUUCGGUCUUCGGACCGGUCGGCAAAGGCAGCUUCGGCCUCCGGCCGAGGAUGGGCCCGCGGCGGAUUAGCUUGUUGGUGAGGUAACGCCUCACCAAGGCUCCGAUCCGUAGCUGGUCUGAGAGGACGAUCAGCCACACUGGGACUGAGACACGGCCCAGACUCCUACGGGAGGCAGCAGUAGGGAAUCUUGCGCAAUGGGCGAAAGCCUGACGCAGCGACGCCGCGUGCGGGAAGACGGCCUUCGGGUUGUAAACCGCUUUCAGGAGGGAUGAAGCCACUCGGGUGAAUAGCCCAGAGGGUGACGGUACCUCCAGAAGAAGCCCCGGCUAACUACGUGCCAGCCGCCGCCGUAAAAC